rnacentral:misc_RNA from 1 species
GAUUUCUAACCUAACGCUGAGCACAUCUGUGUUUACACAAUGUGUAGAUAUCAACACCUCAAAAGAUAAAAGCUGAUUUUUGGAUUGGAAAUUUGUAACCUUUUGAGUGACCUAUACAGGCUUGGCCACCUUCUUUCAGUUCAAUGUGAUGGAGCUAAAUUUUUCCCUAUCCAUGUGUCGGAUUAAUUAUUAAUUAUAUAAAGGCCAAUUAUGUUUUAAAGCAUCAUACUCUGUAGCACAUACAUUAUAUUUUCAUGCAGUACUACUAUGAGCCUGGGACUGGACAAAAGUUCAGAUCAUUGAGAGAUGUCGAGCGACGAUUGAACGGUGAAAUUUUUGCUCCUAGAAACAGGGCAUCGGGAGUGAGAAACUAUCCUAAGGCAAGUUAAAGAAUUGAAUAUUUCACAAAGAUUUAGUAAUAUCGCUAGUUUGAUGAUGCCUGAGUAUGAAACUCCUCUUCUUUUUUUUUUACUUGGUGUAUUUAUCUGUUCUGGUCAUACACGGAGUAUUCGUCUUUCACAGAGUUCUCUGUCUCGGAAGAUGGUCAUCUGCAAUGGGAAGAUCGUUAGAAUGGAUGAAGAGCAGUUGAAUGAAUGGGCAAUUGUGCCGUCAACAAGAGCAGCCACCUUACCCUAUGACCUUCCUGAUGGUUGGGUGAUAGAAGAGGUACCACGUACAGACGGAAGCAGCAUGGUGGAUAAGUAUUACUAUGAACCAG